rnacentral:lncRNA from 1 species
CUGGCGGCUGCAGGUGCUCAUGGUGCCGAGGAGGGAGACAGGCCCCAACAGCCCCUGCUGGAGGCUCCACUGCUCUUCCUGGGAUCAACUGUUCCUAGAAGAGAAGCAGGACCUCUCUCACCCCACCCCCAACCUUGACUGUCACCAAAGAAGAAGCCAGAGAGGGGAGCCCCCCACUACUGUGGCCUAGGAGCUUGGAAGACAAUACUGAGACAGACACCUGUGCUGUGGGCUCCCCAAAUCUGCCAGCAAAGGACUCUCGAGGAUGGAUCAGGAAUAGAAGCUCCAGAGCCCAGGACAUAGGAACAGCUUUACUUUCCCUUUCAUUUGAUUCAGUGGAACCCAAAAGAAACUCCUUCCUCCCCCUGCUCCGAGGGGAAUCCAAAAGAUAAGGAUGGCAGGGAACCAAUGACAGAUCAGUCCAUGCACAUAAUCUUAAAAGGCACUUCUGCAGCCCCAUCCCAACCCCACGCACCAACUCCAGAGCUCUAGCAUGGAAUAUAAGCCUGAUCCCCCACACCCGUUCUCAGAACCGUGGCCUAACCUGGAGCCUGAGGCCAACCUCUCUUCCCCUGCAGUCAAGGACUCAGUGACCAAGGAGCUGCAAACAGCCCGGCCAAGCAGGGAGCAGACUUAGAGGACACCACACUCCCGUCCCCUCCCUGAUGCCAAAGAAGCGUGGUACUCAGACAUUUUAAGGGAGGGUAUUUUCUGGGUCAUCAGGGGUUAAAGGGUUGCCAGUCUUGACAGCUGAGGCCCAGAGUACCCCCCACCUCUGGACUUCUAGGCAGGCUUUGUGUGAGCAGCAUUACCUGACCCUCCCUCCAGCCUGCCCCAAAAGGAGGGGGGUAAAGGAGGAGCCCCGGGCAGGACCUCCUGUGGUUAGUGAGUCUCCCUGCACCACCCUACAUGGGGGAGCCCCGUGCCAAUACUAAAAUUAUUGUAAAUGGAUAAAAUCCAUGGGGUCAAAGAGAUCAGGAAAGUAGAUUAUAGCAAUCAAAUUUUGGAAUCUGGAAAACAAAGACAAAGAAAGCCCAGUGCUUGCCCAGAGAGAAGCCAAGAGGCAAAGCAUAUUUACACUCUGGAACUUUUUAACUCUGAAUUUUUAAGAACUCUGGAAAGUCUCUGGAAUAGGGGGCACCAGGUACCUCUGACAGUGAGGAACAAGUGAACUAGAAAUGGGAGGGUGAGCUAGAGAUCUAUAUAAAAAGCAGAGAGGCGGCCGGGCACGGUGGCUCAUGCCUGUAAUCCCAGCACUUUGGGAGACCAAGGCGGGUGGAUCAUGAGGUCAGGAGAUCGAGACCGUCUUGGCUAACACGGUGAAACCCCGUCUCUGCUAAAAAUACAAGAAAAUUAGCCAGGCGUGGUGGCGGGCGCCUGUAGUCUCAGCUAUUCGGGAGGCUGAGGCAGGAGAAUGGUGUGAACCCGGGAGACAGAGCUUGCAGUGAGCCGAGAUGGUGCUACUGCACUCCAGCCUGGGCAACAGAGCGAGACACCAUCUCGGGAAAAGAAAAAAAAAAGCAGAGGCCGCUAUAGCUCCUCUCUCCCUUCCUUGUCUGAACCCAACCACUCCACGAUUACUCCAGGAGAAACUAGAUGUUUAUGCUUGAGAAUUUCCCCAAAGGGACUCUGAAUCCUGAGACACCAAGCAGGGCCAAUAAACUGCAAUCAACUAGUAGCAGAGUAGCUGAGACUGAGACCUUCUCUGCCCCCUUCCCGCACUCAGCUUCCAGAAAGCUGGUAGCUUUUACAAUCCAGACAGGGAAUUAGAGGUAUUCCUUCUGAGGAAGACCCUCCCCAAGAAAAGUCCUACAGAUAACUGUCCCCCAACGAAACAGCCUAUUCUCCACCAGAUUACUCUAUACUGAGACCUACCAGUGGCAAGCUCCCAUGCUAUCCACACACAUAUACACAUAUUCCAAUCAGUUUCUCAGUGACUUACUCUUAAAUAUGAACAACUACCAAGGACCACCAGACAUCUGAGAAAAGCCUCUGGCAUGAAAGAUGGAGGCAAGACAAACAGCAAGAAAGGAACUGAGGAAACUGAGCUGAUGACAGAAAUAGAAGCACUGCUGGAGCCAGGACUAAUAGGCUCAAAGAGAUCAGAGAAACCAUUGCAUCUUGAAACAAGAACAAGAGACUGUUGAAAAAACAUGCAGAGCUAUGAGAGAUGAAAAAUAUAAAAGAUUAUUGUUGUUUUUAAGACAGGAUCUCACUCUGUUGCCCAGGCUAGAAUGCGAUGGUGUGAUCUCAGCUCACUGCAGCCUUGACUUCCCAGGCUCAAGUGAUUGUCCCACCUCAGCCUCCCUAGCAGCUGGGGCUACAGGCCCAGGCCACCACAUCCAGCUAAUUUUUAUAUAUUUUGUAGAGGCAGGGUCUUACCAUGUUGCCCAGGCUGGUCUUGAACUCCUGGGCUCAAGCAAUCCACCCACCUUGGCCUCCCAAAGUGCUGGGAUUACAGGCAUGAGAUGCUGUGCCCGGCCAAAUGCAGCAGAUUUUUUAAAACUCUGAAUAAUGGAGUUAGAGGUCAAAGUUAAAGAAAUUUCUCAGAAAACAGCAACAAAGAAAAAAAGACAAGACGGAAAAUAAAACAGAAUAUGUAGGAAAAAGAGCCAUUUCAGAAAGAGAGAAAAUGGAGGGAGGAAAUCAUGAAACACGAAAAUUUGCCAGAAUUGAACAACAUGAGCUCCCACAUUGGAAGUUUCUGCUAGUGUCCAGCCAGUGGAUGAAGUCACAGCUGCAUCAAUUCAACACAUGGUAUUUCAGCCUGCUGGAGAGAAAGAGAAGAACUGAAAAGCUUCUAGGGAAGAGUGUGGGAAUAGGAUAAUAAGACGUGAUCUAGAAUCAAUAUGGCAUAAGACUUCUCAACAGCAACACCAGAAGCCAAGAAACAGUGAAACUGUACCUUCAAAUGCUGAGUGCAAAUGAUUUCCAAGCUAGAAUUCCAUACCCAGCCAAACUAUCAGUCAAGAGUGAGGAUCAACUAAAGAUCUUUUUGACACAAACAGUCUAAAAAAAUUUAACCCUGAUAACUCCCUUCCCAGGAAACUACUUGAGGAUGUGCUUCACUAAAACAAAGGGAAAAAUAAAAACAGGAAGGAGGAAGACAUUGGAUCCAGAAAACAAGGAAAGCAACCCAGGAAAAAGAAGGAUUUCAGGAUGAUGGUGAAGAGAGAUUCCAGGAUCACAGCUGAGCAGGAGACCCAAACAGCACCCAGAACAGACAAGAGCAGGACAGAAGGCCCUAGGAGACACAUCUUCAUGAGGAUGAAAUUGAAGGAACACCCAGGGUUCUAAAAUACUGAGGAGAUUUAUGCUUCCAGCAGUGAAUCAGGAAACAAAUUAAUGAUCAAUACAUAGAAAGUUUAGGCAAAUUGAAAAAGAGAUAUUUAUUCCAAGGAAAUCUAAUAUAGUAUAAAAUGUAAUAUAGUAUAAUAUAUGAUUUGACUAUGAAUAACAUUUAAAUAGUCAUGAUAAUGUAAACAUUUAUUUAACAAAAAUAUGAAUAUAUUGAGAAGGUGGGAAGAAGAUAUUUUAAAAAGAAGUGGGGAGGGGCAAUGCUGUAUAACAGAUCCACAUCCUCAUCCUUCACAGCCAGAAGUCAAGCGAUUAAAAACUGAAACAGAAAAACCAAACAGUAACAAGGUAAAGCCUGUUAUUUAGAAGUAAGGAGACAAAUCCCAAAAGAAACAGCUGAAGUUGAAAAGGGGAGGCGGGAACAGAGCUGUGGUAUCCAGUCUAGGGAUGGCUUUUUCAUUAAAAAAAAAAAAAAGUCUUAUUCACAAUAGCAAAGACUUGGAACCAACCCAAAUGUCCAUCAAUGAUAGACUGGAUUAAGAAAAUGUGGCACAUGUGCACCUUGGAAUACUAUGCAACCAUAAAAAAGGAUGAGUUCAUGUCCUUUGCAGGGACAUGGAUGAAGCUGGAAACCAUCAUUCUAAGCAAACUAUCACAAGGACAGAAAACCAAACACCACAUGUUCUCACUCAUAGGUGGGAGUUGAACAAUGAGAACACAUGGGCACAGGGCAGGGAACAUCACACAUCGGAGCCUGUCAGGGGGUGGGGGACUGUGGGAGGGAGGGAUAGCAUUUGGAGAAAUACUUAAUGUAAAUGAUGAGUUGAUGGGUGCAGCAAACCAACAUGGCACAUGUAUACCUAUGUAACAAACAUGCAUGUUGUGCAUGUGUACCCUAUAACUUAAAGCAUAAUAAUAAAAAAAAAAGUCUUGGCCGGGUGCCAUGGCUCACGCCUAUAAUCCCAGCACUUUGGGAGGCCAAGACAGGCAGAUCACGAGGUCAGAAGAUCGAGACCAUCCUGGCUAAUACGGUGAAACCCUGUCUCUGCUAAAAAUACAAAAGAAAAUUAGCCGGGCAUGGUGGUGGGUGACUGUAGUCCCAGCUACUUGGGAGGCUGAGGCAGGAGAAUGGUGUGAACCUGGGAGGUGGAGCUUGCAGUGAACUGAGAUCGCACCACUGCACUCCAGCCUGGGCGACACAGCAAGACUCUGUCUCAAAAAAAAAAAAGGCUUAUGAUGUUAUACAUACAUAACUUUUUUAAAUUUAAAUAUUUAAAAUAUGGAAGGCAUCCAGGAAGAAGGAAUGGCAACUGAGAGGUAUGGGUCAUAUCUCAGUCAGGUAGGGGUGACUCGGGGGUUUGGAGCUGGGAGGGACAGGAGGACACCAAGCUGGGUUGAGACUGAAGGCUGAGUGCUGGAGGGGAAUGGGAUCCAUCGCCGGCUGUUAAGCAGGGGAGUCCUGAUCUCACCCUUGUUCUUGAUCCUGACCACAUUCUGGUGGAAAUCAUUCAGUGGAAAUUGAAUGUGGAUGAGAUUGACUCUCAAGGGGACCCAGUUAGGCUGUGCCCAGGUCUAGGGAGAGAGGAAGAAGAUCUGAACAUGGCAAUGGCCAUGGGGCAGCAGGUGUUUCCUAGGGUGCUCAUCAGCACGCAAUUCACCAGCUGAGGGGAAUGAGGAAGGAGGAGUUGAUGGGGUGUGAGGAGAAGCAGGCUGGGAGAAGGAGGAUUUCAGGUCUGACGAGGACAUCGUUCUCAAGGCAGAUACCACUCCCUUCCACCCUCCAAUGUAGAAACUGUGUGCAGAUGUGGGGGAGCCCAUGGGUAGAGUUAAGAUUCAAGCGUGGGAGUCUUCGGGUUAAAAUACCUGAAAAGGUAGAGUGGUGUUAAAAGAAAGGCAUGGACUUUGCAGACAGACAGAACUGAGUUUGAGCUCCAGCCGUGCCACUUACUAUCUGCAUGAUUUUACGCAAGUUACUGAAACUCUGAAUUCUGGGGGUUGUCAAAUUCCAAAAUGGGCCUGACCACACCCACCUCACAGGGUUGCAAGGGCAACCUCGUAAAAUAACCUCUGUAGAAUGCCUCCAUGGUGUCAGUCAGCACGUGUGGACACUCCCCCAUCCUGUGUCCCACCUCCCACUUCCAUAGAGCGUGGAGGUCUUCCAGGAAGAGCCUUCAAGAUCUUCUGAGAUUUGUCCCAUUUCCCACAUCUCUCAGGCUGUGAGGCUCCAGGAGGUUUCUGGAAAGCACCUGCAACUCCCCUCCCAUCAGUUCAAGAACAGAGAUCACACAGGUUUGCAUCAACCAGAAAGUCAGCUUUAUUAGCCCAU